GACGAACGCUGGCGGCGUGCCUAAUACAUGCAAGUCGAACGGAAAGGCUCUGCUCUUGUAGCGUGCGCGAGUGCCGAACACGUGAGUAUCACGCGUGUAACCUGUCCCUUUCUUCGGGAUAACACCAGGAAACACGGGCGAUAAUCCGGCAGGAGCUCUUUAUGCAUGGGUUUGGUUGGUGAAUUUCGGCGGUUGGGGAUGGACUCGCGGCCUAUCAGCUUGUUGGUGGGGUAGUGGCUUACCAAGGCAUUGACGGGUAGCCGGCCUGGGAGGGUGACCGGCCACAUUGGGACUGAGAUACGGCCCAGACUCCUACGGGAGGCAGCAGUGGGGAAUAUUGCGCAAUGGGCGGAAGCCUGAUGCAGCAACGCCGCGUGCGGGAUGACGGCCUUCGGGUUGUAAACCGCUUUCGCCUGUGACGAAGCGUGAGUGACGGUAAUGGGUAAAGAAGCACCGGCUAACUACGUG
rnacentral:rRNA from 1 species